GACGAACGCUGGCGGCGUGCCUAAUACAUGCAAGUCGAACGCAGUGGGGACGGGUGAGUAACACGUGGCUAACCGCCCAUAUGAGGGGAGAACACUUGGAAAAAGGUGCUAAAACCGAUAUUGAUGGAUGGACUCGGGGUGCAUUCGCAAGUGGGUGAGGUAACGGCUUACCAGGGCCACGAGGCAUAACGGACCGGAGAGGGGGAUCGGCAACACUGGGACUGGUACACGGCCCAGACUCCGACGGGAGGCAGCAGUAGGGAAUCUUCGGCAAUGGAGGAAAGUCUGACCGAGCAAGGCCGCGGGAGUGAAGAAGGUUUUCGGAUCGUAAAACUCGUUUGUUAGGGAAGCGGUACCGAAACAGAAAGCCACGGCUAACUACGUGCCAGCAGCCGCGGUAAUAC
rnacentral:rRNA from 1 species